GCCCUUAGAGUUUGAUCAUGGCUCAGAAUCAACGCUGGCGGCGUGCCUCAGACAUGCAAGUCGAACGCGAAAUCUCCCUUCGGGGAGAGAGUAGAGUGGCGCACGGGUGAGUAACACGUAGGUAAUUUGCCUUCGGGUGGGGAAUAACAGCCGGAAACGGCUGCUAAUACCGCAUAAUGCAGCGGCUCGACAUCGAGACAGUUGUUAAAGCGGGGGAUUCGCAAGAACCUCGCGCCUGAAGAGAAGCCUGCGGCAGAUUAGCUAGUUGGUAGGGUAAUGGCCUACCAAGGCGACGAUCUGUAACCGGCCUGAGAGGGCGGUCGGUCACACUGACACUGACAUGCGGGUCAGACUCCUACGGGAGGCAGCAGUCGGGAAUUUUGGGCAAUGGGCGAAAGCCUGACCCAGCAACGCCGCGUGAAGGAUGAAAUCCCUCGGGAUGUAAACUUCGCAAGAAUGGGAAGAAUAAGUAGA
rnacentral:rRNA from 1 species